UCCUACUUCAUGUUGUGGAGUUGAACCAAGAGUUUGUAAGGGCAAGGAGAUCGCCUACUUCGUGAAGAUCUACCCCGAGUGAGGCUAGUCCUUCGUGGAAGUAAGCCAUGAUGGAAUAGACAAGGUUGUUUCUCCGUGGACUCUUCGUGGGUUGAGCCCUCCGUGGACUCGCGCAGUUGUUACUCUUCAUGGGUUGAAGUCUCCAUCAACGUGGACGUACAA
rnacentral:lncRNA from 1 species